GUCAGCACGUCUGGUAGCACCUCUGACUGCUGUUGAUCUUGUUUUUGGAGUAAAACACGGUGGAAGCUGAAUUAGUGAGGAUGACUCCUGCUCCUGUCAUCUCUAAGCUCCUCACACAUCUUUACCUGCACAUGAGGAAAAUCACUCCUGUAGAAUGCAGUGGUUCAUCAGAACCUCUGGGGAUGUCCUGUGGAUUCUGUGGAUCCUGUGGGUUGCAGGGUGGGUCCUACCUAGACCAGGCUGAUCCUGGACCAUCCCACAGAUGCUCAAUCAGAUCUGGAUGUGGGGAGUGUGGAACCCAGAUGUUCAGAGGGAGAUGAUGCCACAUCUGGUCCAGCUGAUGGAAGGUCUUGAAGUUCUCUGACUGGCCUCGACUGAAGAUGGUCCUCUCACUGGAUUUAAGAUGCACAAUGAGGGACGUCUGCAGAGACUGAGAAAGAGUCUCACCACAUCCUGACAUGAGGAAAAAGACUUUAUUGAAGACUACAAUGAGAAAAACUAUCAGACAGCAGAUGGCUGCAUUCAAGGUGAGCUCUGAACAUUUGAUCUGGAACAGGAAUUCAAUAACGGCAGCAUGAGCUUCAUUUCAGUCUGUAGCUGCUGAAUUCAUGGAUGAAUCAUCUGGCACUAGAGAAGAAGACCAUCAAACAUCCACGUCAGCUGAUGGAGGUCCAAGAGUCUCACCGAACAACCAACCUACAGAGUGAAGACCUCGAAUCUGAUUGGACGGCCUCCUAUUCAGCCACAUGUGUGAACAAAUGCCUCUAAGUUGAUUUGUUUUCUAAAAUAAAUCUAGUUUGAGUCCUAA